rnacentral:rRNA from 1 species
UACGAAGGGGGCUAGCGUUGCUCGGAAUCACUGGGCGUAAAGCGCACGUAGGCGGCUUGUUAAGUCAGGGGUGAAAUCCUGGAGCUCAACUCCAGAACUGCCUUUGAUACUGGCGAGCUUGAGUUCGGGAGAGGUGAGUGGAACUGCGAGUGUAGAGGUGAAAUUCGUAGAUAUUCGCAAGAACACCGGUGGCGAAGGCGGCUAUCUGGACCGACAUUGACGCUGAGGCGCGAAAGCGUGGGGAGCAAACAGG